AGACUCCUUUGAUGAACGAUGUUUAUAAAAGAACCCAACAAUCAAACAAGAUGGCUACGAAAGGCAAAACAACAGAACUAAAAACAGAGGAAGAAAGGUAUAACAAAUGAAAAACAAAGAAACAAAACCAGUUUUUUUUUUAAUCUAAAUUUUCGGAUAUUGAACUUGUGGGAUCUCUUUUUCUUUUCUUUUUUUUUUCUUUCUCCAGCUUGUUUUUGGUUCCUUUGAUCUAUUUCAUGCUAUAUUUAGGGUUACCACAGGAACAAAACCAGAGUUUCUGUCUGGUCUUCUGUUGUUUUUUUUUUUUGGUAAGUGCUAGUGUUUGAAAAACUGAGGUUCCAAAACGAGAAAAUUUUCCUUAUAUAACGAACAUGUUUAGGGGAUUUGGGUGUGGGACAAAGUUUGGUUUGGUGAAUAGAUUAGCAAUUCCUUCCAAAUCCCAAUCCUCUAAAUAUCUGAAUUUAAAAUUUAAGUUUUAAAAUAUUAAAUAAAAAUCUAGAAAGGAUAAAACCGGUUAAGGAGUUUGGAUAUUUAAAUUUUUUGUAUGAAAAUAUAAAAUAAAAAUUUAUUAUUGUAUGAAAUCAUAAAUUAGAAUACAUAUGAUGUUAAAAAUAACAAAUAACAAAUAACAAAUAAUGAAGCAUAUAAAUACAAUAGAUUAAGAAUAAUAAAGUGUAUAAUAAAAUUAAAAUGUAUAAAAUAUCAAAAUUAAACUUUAAUUGAGUUGUAAUUUAAAAUUUUACUAAUGUAAUUGGUUGAUAUUGGUUCAAAUCUUACCAUCUGCAUAUUUUUAUUGUUUUUUUUAAUGAAAAGACUAAAUUACCUUCAAAUAUUAUUACUUAUUUUAAUUGUGAAAUGAUAUUUUCGUAAAUUUUAUAAUCGAGUUGAUGUUGGUUGACUCAUGACACUAACUCAAUUAGGAGCUUAAAUAAUAAUAUUAAUAUAGAAUUGAUAAAAUAAAUAAAAUGUGUACAAUAAAAUUAAAAUGUAUAAAAAAAUAUUAAAAUGAAGUUUUUAUUGUGUGGUAAAUUAAAUGCUUUACUAAUGCAAUUAAUUGAUGAUGUGGGUUCAAAUUCCACCAUUUGCUUAUUGGUUUUUAAAAUAAAAAUACUAAAAUACCCUCGAAUAAUAUAAUUUAUUUUAAUUACAGAAAGAUAUUUUUGUAAUUUUAUUGUCACACCCGAUUUUCGUUUAAGUCCCAAACUUUAGGAAAGAUGGGGAGAUACUUUAAUAAAAUAGUAAGUUGGCGGGUUUUACUGGAAAACUUGAAAAAUUUUGUGGCAAAUUGGUAAUUGGUUGAGUCUAAUUCUGGUUCGGUUCAAUUAGAACUGGAUGGUCUCUUCAUGGAAAACAAAAUGAUUGUCGAUGGGUGGAUUAAUUGAGGCUUUGGUGACUGUACGCGAAGGGAUAUAUAUAUAUAUAUAUAUAUUUAUGAGUGAGGAGGGUUAUUCUAAAGGCAUGAUUCACGUCAUUUCUGUUUAAUUUCCUUUUACACCAUCUUCUUUAGUUGCUCCAAAGAAGAGAAAGUUGAGGAAAACACUGUAUGUGUAACAACCCAUUUUCAGUGAAAUCGAAAUAGUGGUUUCGGGACCACAAAUCAGAGUCGGAAAGAAAAUUAUUUUUAUAUUUUUGCAUGGUUAGAAUUUUGCUAGAAUGUCAUAAGAAAAUUCUGACAAGAAAAUUUUAUCGAUUUUGUGCUUAAUUACGGAUAGGACAAAAUUGCAUAAAAUGCAAAAGUUGGAUUCUAAUAGCUAGAAGGAUCAAAUAGCUAUGGAAUUCAAAAUUUGAGAUCCUUAUAUAGUAAUUAGACUAUUAAAGAAGAGUUAGUAGAUAUUUUUGGUGAUUCAUCCAUGGAAAAAUUAGAAAAGGUUAAGGACUAAAUUGUAAACUAAAAUAAUUAAAAGAUGAUAAAUUAAUAAAUAAGAAAUAUCAUCAUAUAUUAUCAUAUUCAUCCCCAAAAUACAUGGAAACCUAGGAGAGAGAGAGAGAGAAGAAACUAAUCAAGCUUAAUUGAGUAAGUAUUCUUGUCCCUUUUUUAGUAAUUUUUAUAUUUUUGAGAUUGGGGAUCAAUUUGAAAAGUUAUCAAAGUAUAGAAUUUUUUCCAUGGAUGAAUAUGUUGAAAAUUUGAAAUCUAUAGUAGAAAAUGAAAGGUUGUUGAUAGAUAAACAACUUUUACAAAGUGAAUUUUGAUGAAAUUGUGAUUUAGGGACCAAAUUGUAAAGUUAUGAAAAUUGAAGAAAAAUUUUGAAUUUUAUAGAAUACAUGUGAUGUAAAUUUUAUAUUGAAAUUUCAGUUAGGCUUGGAAUAAGGAAUAAAUUGCAUGAAUUUCAUUUUCCGAGCUUAGGGACGAAAUUGAAAUUUAUGGAAAGUUUAGAGACAAAAUGGUAAUUUUACCUAGGGUGUAAAUUGAGUUUAAUAGAAUAUGUAAUGUGAGAAAUUGAUAAUUAAAUUCAUUUAUAUAGAUCUGGAUAACACAAAUUCAAAGCUGAAUCGAGGAAAAAAGAAAGUUUCGGAAUAGUAGAUUUUCUUGUAUGAAUUAUUAUCAAGGCAAGUUCGUGUAACUUAUUUAUGUAUGUUAAUAUGUUUGAAUUCAAUGUUGUAUUUGGGUGAAUUAUAUAAAUGUUUAAAGUAUGAAAUAAAUCACAUGCUCGAUAUUGCUCGAUAAAUGACAAGUUCCGUUUGAAUAAUGAAAUUCGAUGGAUAUAUGAUUUCCUAUAUUGAAUGUGGUCCUGCAUAUGUUGCGGACAGAAUAUAGCUUGGAUGAGCAAUCCUAUUAUAGCCCUCUCGAGCAUCCUGUUAUAUUGUUCCUGUGAGCAUCCUGAUCAAUAGUGAUUUUGCAUGUGUUGCACAUUACUACAGCUCUUUGUGAGCAUUCUGAUACAUGUUUCGAUCGGUUGUGAUCCAGCAUAUAAUACGAACACAAACAUCGCUCUUCAUGAGUGUCUUGGUAAGCUCGCUUGAACUCUCUAUUACCUUAUCUGAAGCUCCCUAAUAUUAUCUCUUCGGAGAUAUCUGAAAAGCUCUAUAAGCUUCCUGAGUAAAAACUCUUAUGAGUUUCUGGUUAGCUCGGAUAAGUGUCCUGUUACAUGAUUACAUGGCUCGUUUGAGCAUUCUGACAUAUGGCUCGAGAGUAUGCUCGCUGAUUAUGUACCCUGAUAGGUACCCCUAUUUAUGAAUUGAUAGUUUACAGAAUUGUACACCUUAAGUGUACUAUUUGAGUAUCCAUCGAUAUUUUAAUAAUUCAACGGAUAACACUCUUGACAUAAGAAAAUGAUAAGAUAAAUAGAAAUAGGUCAUGAAUGUUCUGAAUUAUUUGAAGAAGGAUUAUAUGAUGAGCUCAUCUAUGAUUAUUUAAUAUAUAAAUGUAUUAUAAGACUAACUUGCUUGAUUGAGUAUAUGUGUUUAGGUAAACUUGCCAAAAUGAUGAAAGCAUGUUAAUUGUAUGCUUAAUGAUGUUAAAUGUGAUUGGUAAGUUUUAAUUUCUGUUAUACGAACUUACUAAACAUAUAAUGCUUACUAGGUUUAUUUUCUCUGUUUUAUAGUGCUCGGAAGCUCGCGAAGGUUGGCGAUCGGUUGGAGCAUCAUCACACUAUCUAUUAGCUUGUUUUGGUAUAAAUAGUAAACUCAUUUUGGUAUAAUGGCAAGUAUAGAUAACUUGGCGAUUGUUGGCUUAUAAAUGUUGUUUGUAAUCUAGCCACUAGAAUGGCUAGUAAUAGUUAUGUUUUGGUAUAUCUAAUAAGGUUGUUUUAUGGCAAUAUCAUGAGUAUAUAUUAUGGAUUGAUU
rnacentral:lncRNA from 1 species